GAUGAACGCUGGCGGCGUGCCUAAUACAUGCCAGUCGAGCGAACAGACGAGGAGCUUGCUCCUCUGACGUUAGCGGCGGACGGGUGAGUAACACGUGGAUAACCUACCUAUAAGACUGGGAUAACUUCGGGAAACCGGAGCUAAUACCGGAUAAUAUAUUGAACCGCAUGGUUCAAUAGUGAAAGACGGUUUUGCUGUCACUUAUAGAUGGAUCCGCGCCGCAUUAGCUAGUUGGUAAGGUAACGGCUUACCAAGGCAACGAUGCGUAGCCGACCUGAGAGGGUGAUCGGCCACACUGGAACUGAGACACGGUCCAGACUCCUACGGGAGGCAGCAGUAGGGAAUCUUCCGCAAUGGGCGAAAGCCUGACGGAGCAACGCCGCGUGAGUGAUGAAGGUCUUCGGAUCGUAAAACUCUGUUAUUAGGGAAGAACAAGUGUGUAAGUAACUAUGCACGUCUUGACGGUACCUAAUCAGAAAGCCACGGCUAACUACGUG
rnacentral:rRNA from 1 species